GACGAACGCUGGCGGCGUGCUUAACACAUGCAAGUCGAACGGAAAGGCCCUGCUUUUGUGGGGUGCUCGAGUGGCGAACGGGUGAGUAACACGUGAGUAACCUGCCCUUGACUUUGGGAUAACUUCAGGAAACUGGGGCUAAUACCGGAUAGGAGCUCCUGCUGCACGGUGGGGGUUGGAAAGUUUCGGCGGUUGGGGAUGGACUCGCGGCUUAUCAGCUUGUUGGUGGGGUAGUGGCUUACCAAGGGUUUGACGGGUAGCCGGCCUGAGAGGGUGACCGGCCACCAUGGGACUGAGAUACGGCCCAGACGCGUACGGGAGGCAGCAGUGGGGAAUAUUGCACAGUGGGCGGAAGCCUGAGGCGGCAACGCCGCGUGCGGGAUGACGGCCUUCUGGUGGUAAACCGCUUUCGCCUGUGACGAAGCGGGAGUGACGGUAAUGGGUAAAGAAGCACCGGCUAACUACGUG
rnacentral:rRNA from 1 species